rnacentral:rRNA from 1 species
AGAGUUUGAUCCUGGCUCAGGACGAACGCUGGCGGCGUGCUUAAUGAAUGCGAGUCGAACGGAACGCGGUUUUCGCAGUAGCCUUCGGGCUGCUGCCUUCCGCGUUUAGUGGCAAACGGGUGAGUAACACGUGGGUAACGUGCCUCCAGGCCGAGGAUAACAGGACGAAAGCCCUGCUAAUACUCGAUAGGCUGCCCCUGCUCUGGCAGGGACCAGUAAAGCUCCGGCGCCUGGAGAUCGGCCCGCGGUCCAUUAGCUCGUUGGUGAGGUAACGGCUCACCAAGGCGACAAUGGAUAGCUGGUCUGAGAGGACGAUCAGCCACACUGGGACUGAGACAUGGUCCAGACUCCUACGGGAGUUAGCAUCCGGGAAUCUUGCACAAUGGGCGCAAGCCUGAUGCAGCGACGCCGCGUGGGUGAUGAAGGUCUGCGGAUCGUAAAGCCCUGUCAGGAGGGAAGACACCCGACUGUACCUCCAAAGGAAGCCCCGGCUAACUACGUGCCAGCAGCCGCGGUAAAACGUAGGGGGCUAGCGUUGUCCGGAAUUACUGGGCGUAAAGGGCACGCAGGCGGUCUGGAAAGCGGUGGGUGCAAUCUCGAGGCUCAACCUCGAAACUGCUUGCCGAACUACCAGACUAGAGCACGGGAGAGGACAGUGGAAUUCCCGGUGUAGCGGUGGAAUGCGUA